UCAUUGUUCAGAUAUGAAUAUUUUCUCUUUGCUUUUUUCAGGUUCUUUAGAUUACUUUAAAAAUCCAAUUUAGUUUUCUAAUAAGCAAAAAGUAAAGUCACUUUACCAAUGUCUAUACGUUAAAUUGCACUUGUCUCUCUCUCUAUCUCUGUUAACACAUUUGUAUUUGUUUGAUUAAUUCUUGUGUCUUUCAGCCUGUUUCUGCCUAUCACCAUGAGUGAUUCCUUGAUACUCAGAUUGAUAAUCAAGAUCUCAAUUAUAACCUCAAGUAUUGAUGACAACUUGAUGAUCUGCUGGAAGCACCACCAUGUAAAGAAGGCCAAGACCACUCUGGAAUCAGUCAAGGGUGAAAUGGAGUGAGGCAUACCAGGAUAUGUGUGGUUUUACUCUUGGGAAGGAGGUUGAACAGUUCAAUAUUUCUUCUAUAGGAUUGGAGUGACCAGACAUGCUACUGUAACUCUCAUGGUCAUGUGCUGGAAUUAGCGGAUAUUCAACAAUUUGGCCAUCUCGCUGACCUGUUGAUUUCAGAAGACUGCAACAGCUCUGCAAAGCAAGUUGCAAAACACAAUCCAUGGAACUGGCAGUGACCGGAAACCAAUUGGAAGACUUUGGUCUGUGAUGUAGAGGAGAGGGCAGUAGCAGACGCAAAGACAACAAAAAACAGAAGUGAUAUGGAUGUCUUCGUCAUAUGGCAUGACUCUGUCGAUCCAGCAACAAAGAUGAGGGUGUUCAACAUCAUCCUGCUAGUCAGGAUUCUUCAGGAGAAGCAGCGGAUUAUUGUGGCAGAGAUGGCCAACCACUAUAAAUAAUAAUAUAAAAAGUACUGAUUCGGCAUGUGGCCUAAACGAAGAGGGGUUAAAAGGUCUGUUGAUCAUCCUUCUCAGAAAGCAACAAAAUAACUGAGAAAUAAACAACAAUACAAUGGUGCAGUCUAGAGACCUGCAAGGUACCUGCAAGUUUUGGCUGGAGCAGUGAACAGACAUUUUUUUUAAAUAAAGCUCCAGCUGAUGAGUAUGACAU